rnacentral:lncRNA from 1 species
AUUAAAAAAAAAUUUUUAUUACCCAAAUGAAUUUAUCACAUCUGCAGUUGUAUAAUGAUCAUAACAAUCCAAUUUCACAGGAUUUCCACCCCAUAACCCAAACACAUCCCCCCACCCCCCAAACUGUCUCCUCUGGAGACCUUAAGUUUUUCAAUGUCUGUGAGUCAGCAUCUGUUCUGCAAAGAAGUUCAAUCUGUCCUUUUUUCAGAUUCCACAUGUCAGUGAAAGCAUUUGAUGUUGGUGUCUCAUUGUAUGGCUGACGGAGAAGUUUCUUUAAAACUUUUCUACAACUUAGAUUUACAAGGAGAUCCUGCUGAGUAGCAUUGAGAACUAUGUCUAGAUACUCAUGUUGCAACAGAACAAAGGGUGGGGGAAAAAUGUAUACAUGUAAGGAUAACUUGAUCCCUUUGCUGUACAGUGGGAAAAAAAAUAAAUUGUUAAAAAAAAUUCUUAAAAAAAUAAAGUUAGAUAAAAAUCACACAAAAAAAUAAAAUAAAAUAAAAAAAUAAAACUUUUCUAGACUGUGCUCCUGAGCAGUUAGCAAAACCAAAAAGAAUGGGCUAUUGUUAAUUCGUUCACUCAACAAAAAUUCACUGAAUAUCUACAAUGAAUCAGGUUCUGAGUGAUACCUACUAAUGAACAGAGUAUUUCUAACAGUUCUGAAAAGUUUAAAAAUGUUAGAACUUUCACUUAAGCAACUCAUAAUACAAAUUAAUAUUUUUGUAUUUGCUCAUGAAAGCCAUUUCCUGGAUCCUAGAAUGAAGGCAUAAGCAACACAGAGCCUCAACCGUUUUCCAGACCACAUUAUUACCGAGGGAGAAACAAACUCUAGUUGCUGUAAACCAGAGAUCAUGGACUUAUAUGGCACCACAGCAUAAACCAUGGAAAGCUAACUAAUACAGUAAGUAUCCCAUCAUGCAAACUAGAACAACAGACAAGCCUAUUUCCAUCGAGUUAUUUAAUGGAGUCCUUGUACAAAGGCCAGUGACAACCUGAGAAAAACGAGCUGCAACAGCCAGUAAAUAAAACAGAGGGGUUUAUCCAGGUUGUAAGGAGGUGAUGCUUGAAUACCACCUACCAUCAUAGACUUCAAACUUAUAUUUUUACGUAUCCAAAGUAAAGCAGAGGACGGUUUAUGUAAUGCAUUACUUUUUUUUGUUGUUGUUUUUGCCAUUUCUUAGGCCGCUCCCAUGGCAUAUGGUGAUUCCCAGGCUAGGGGUCGAAUCGGAGCUGUAGCCGCCGGCCUACGCCAGAGCCACACAACGCUGGAUCCGAGCCGCGUCUGCAACCUACAUCACAGCUCACGGCAACGCCGGAUCGUUAACCCACUGAGCAAGCCAGGGAUCGAACCUGCAACCUUAUGGUUCCUAGUCGGAUUCGUUAACCACUGAGCCACAACGGGAACUCCAAUGCAUUACAUUUUAUAUUUCUUUCUUUGUUUUUUUUUUUUGUCUUUUGUCUUUUUUGUUGUUGUUGCUAUUUCUUGGGCCGCUCCCGCGGCAUAUGGAGGUUCCCAGGCUAGGGGCUGAAUCGGAGCCGUAGCCACCGGCCUACACCAGAGCCACAGCAACGCUGGAUCCGAGCCGCGUCUGCAACCUACAUCACAGCUCACGGCAACGCCGGAUCGUUAACCCACUGAGCAAGCCAGGGAUCGAACCUGCAACCUUAUGGUUCCUAGUCGGAUUCGUUAACCACUGCGCCACGACGGGAACUCCAGGACUCCCAGGAAUUCUGAUUCCAAAGUUUCGGUUUUCCCAUAUAUCACAGUAAUCACCUAAUAAUGCAAGUCGCUGUUUUUAAUCCGAAUAAAACCUUUUUGUAAAGGCCUGGCUAAUUCUGAUAAGGAU